GCCCUUAUAGCUCAGUCGCAGAGCGCAUCACUCGUAGCCUGAGGCAUCCAAAAGCCUCUUUCGGUUGACAUGAUGAGGUCCGCGGUUCAAUCCCGCGUGGGGGCA